GUGGGGAAUAUUGGACAAUGGGGGGAACCCUGAUCCAGCCAUGCCGCGUGUGUGAAGAAGGCCUUUUGGUUGUAAAGCACUUUAAGCGGGGAGGAGGCUCUUGAGGAUAAUACCCUUGAUGAGUGGACGUUACCCGCAGAAUAAGCACCGGCUAACUCUGUGCCAGCAGCCGCGGUAAUACAGAGGGUGCGAGCGUUAAUCGGAUUUACUGGGCGUAAAGCGUGCGUAGGCGGCUGAAUAAGUCGGAUGUGAAAUCCCCGAGCUUAACUUGGGAAUUGCAUACGAUACUGUUUGGCUAGAGUAUGGGAGAGGAUGGUAGAAUUCCAGGUGUAGCGGUGAAAUGCGUAGAGAUCUGGAGGAAUACCGAUGGCGAAGGCAGCCAUCUGGCCUAAUACUGACGCUGAGGUACGAAAGCAUGGGGAGCAAACAGGAUUAGAAACCCUAGUAGUCC
rnacentral:rRNA from 1 species